rfam:Streptomyces alboflavus strain MDJK44, complete genome.
UGGACAGGGGGGUCUCUGCCGGUUCCGGCAGGGCCUGUCCAGCAAGGUUGUGCGUGAUGCGUCAGGCGCGACCAGUGGUUGUCGCUCGGGGGUGAUCGCCG